UGGGGAAUUUUGGACAAUGGGGGAAACCCUGAUCCAGCCAUCCCGCGUGUGCGAUGAAGGCCUUCGGGUUGUAAAGCACUUUUGGCAGGAAAGAAACGUCAUGGGUUAAUACCCCGUGAAACUGACGGUACCUGCAGAAUAAGCACCGGCUAACUACGUGCCAGCAGCCGCGGUAAUACGUAGGGUGCAAGAGUUAAUCGGAAUUACUGGGCGUAAAGCGUGCGCAGGCGGUUCGGAAAGAAAGAUGUGAAAUCCCAGAGCUAAACUUUGGAACUGCAUUUUUAACUACCGGGAUAGAGUGUGUCAGAGGGAGGUGGAAUUCCGCGUGUAGCAGUGAAAUGCGUAGAUAUGCGGAGGAACACCGAUGGCGAAGGCAGCCUCCUGGGAUAACACUGACGCUCAUGCACGAAAGCGUGGGGAGCAAACAGG
rnacentral:rRNA from 1 species